AAUUUGACAUAGAUUUGUAUAUAAAAUAACGUGUUAAGUAAUUUCGAUAAUUGUAUGAUUGUAUAUAUAUUGUUUUCAUAUUCAAAAAUAGUUUCUUUGCCGCAGAUAGGAAGUCAAGUCAGCUCUGAAUGAUCGAGGAAACACGCUUGACAAAUAGCGAAAACCUAAAGGUAUGGGGCAAAAACAAAAAAAAAGCGGGAAAAGCAGGUUGAUCGAACAGGUUCAUUCGCCGUGGAGUUAAGUUAAGUCUAUGAAACACAGUGGAGAACAGGUCCAACCAAACCAACUGUUUCAAUAGCGAUUAAACAAAUGAGUUGGCUCCUUCGUUUGUUCGGCCCCAGAUGUUUUCGGCUGGCUUGUCAAUCGGCUCCAAGUUAAAUGGAUUGUAGUUGGUACCCUGUCUCAGGGUCUAGCGUAAUAUUUGCUCGCAAACAAAAAGGCGAACAGAACAAUCGAAAUACUUGAAGGCUCCCAAAAAAAAACGAAAAACUAAAUAAAAAAGAAAACCGAGACUCGUGACUUAACAAGGCCAAGAAGCUAAAAUGGAGGGGAAUGACGAUGGAUUUGUAUGGAAGAUGAAUGGCGAGAGCAGCAAUUGUGCAACCAUUUCCACACCAUCAGCGGGAAAUCCAUCAGGUUGGAUUAGAAUAAUAUUUCUACCAUAAAAGAAAAAAUUGGUCACCAUUAUGCAGUACACAUUUAACCACCAACCUGAUAGAACCUAUUACAGAUACUUUUAUUAAAUCGAGAUAAUAACGUUCUCUUUUUGCAAAUAUUUGAAUUAUUUCAAUAAUGAGAUUCUCAAUGAUUUGGGAAUUUUUUCUGUGUGUACUUGAAAAUGUUCAAUACGAUCACCUCCUGUUUGCCAUUUGACAAUUGAUGGGCCGCACAUUUGUCUUUCACUUGUCGCCUUGCCGUCUUGUCUUGCACCUUCAUCAGCCAUCUCUUUCAUUGUGCGCAUACCCAUCUCUCUCUCUGCAGCUCGAUUUCUUUCCCUUUCUCGCGGGCUCUUUUGAAGUGAACCCGUUUUGACAAAUGUGUGUCAUUGCUGGGCCAUAAAAAGACACGAUCUUUGGAGUCUUUUGCUCUCCGAAUUCGAUUUUGUUUGGCAAGGCCACCCCCUUAACACCUUUCUCAACACAAUUUCCAUCUUCGAGAAGACGACUAAAAAAGAUUUGUACCAAUUCUUAUGCGAAGAAGCGUUUGAAAAUUAAGUCUCUUUGCCGCGUUAUUUAUUGCAUAAUUAUAGGAAAAACGGCGACACAACAAAAAAAGAAGCCUUGACGAGCCCAGCAUCCCGUCCAAUAGAAACCAAUGAUCAUAAGCAGAUGAAAAAUGCCAUAAACCCACAUAUGCAUAUGUAUUAAGUGGAAACGUGUAAUUUGCAUAAAAUCACCUGAUUGAACGUUAAAUAUUUUAUUUAAGAUUCAGAUUAUGGAGUCGAGAAAUGCUCAUAAAGAUCAAAAUCCAACGGCUUUAAGAAAAAAGAUUUCUUUCAGUGUCUGCAUCGAAAUCAAACUGAAAGAGAGAGAUGACCCAACUUUAGAGCACCUGACUCGAUAUACAACAAACAGAAUAUUUGCAUAAAUUACCCAAAAAGUUUUUGAGGCUACUUUACAUUUUUAAUGAACAACAAUAAAAUAGUCUUAGGCAUAUUGAAAUGAUUAGGUACUCCCCUUUUGGUCUUUUUUGUUUGUGUUUUUCCGAUCAAUGUGCAAAGGUGAUGGAGGUAAACAUUUUAUGACAUUA